rfam:Ailuropoda melanoleuca scaffold511_59, whole genome shotgun sequence.
UGAAAGGUUUUUUUAAAAACCAAAUAUAGUUCUAAAUAAAUAGAUU